rnacentral:rRNA from 1 species
ACGAACGCUGGCGGCGUGCCUAACACAUGCAAGUCGAGCGAGGUCCAUUCGGUAGCAAUACCGAUGAAGACCUAGCGGCGAACGGGUGAGUAACACGUGAGAAACCUGCCCCAAAGUCUGGGAUAACCUGGGGAAACCCGAGCUAAUACCGGAUACCUUCUUUUGAUCGCAUGGUCAGCUGAAGAAAGUUUUUUCGCUUUGGGAGGGUCUCGCGGCCUAUCAGUUUGUUGGUGGGGUAACGGCCUACCAAGACAUCGACGGGUAGCUGGUCUGAGAGGACGAUCAGCCACACUGGGACUGAGACACGGCCCAGACUCCUACGGGAGGCAGCAGUGGGGAAUCUUGCGCAAUGGGCGAAAGCCUGACGCAGCAACGCCGCGUGCGGGAUGACGGCCUUCGGGUUGUAAACCGCUUUCAGCAGGGACGAAAUUGACGGUACCUGCAGAAGAAGCCCCGGCCAACUACGU